rnacentral:rRNA from 1 species
UACGUAGGGGGCAAGCGUUGUCCGGAUUUAUUGGGCGUAAAGAGCGUGUAGGCGGCCAUACAGGUCAGCUGUGAAAACUCGAGGCUCAACCUCGAGACGUCGGUUGAAACCGUAUGGCUAGAGUCCGGAAGAGGAGAGUGGAAUUCCCGGUGUAGCGGUGAAAUGCGCAGAUAUCGGGAAGAACACCCGUGGCGAAGGCGGCUCUCGUGGGACGGUACUGACGCUGAGACGCGAAAGCGUGGGGAGCGAACAGG